AAUACAGAGAGCACUACAUGGUAGUGUAAGUGGGCUCCUGACUCCCCCCGAAUCAGUGCAAAUACGGCUGAGGCCAAAUAAUUCACUUAUUACCGCUACCUUCUUUGGGCCCGAUUGUCUACAGACCUCAUGUGAGCGCCGGUGCACAGGACAGGCACUCCACUAGCAGCGUGAUGGGGGCUGUAUCAGAACCAGAGUAGAACAGAAGCGGCCUGAGUGCCUGGCCAGCUGCGAGUUCCUGAGGUCUCUUCGGACAGUGAAGCAGGGGGAAUGCCCCCCACCACGCUGGGCUUGGGGCUUUGUGGCUGCCUGCGAGCAGAGCUGCGGUCCUGAUGUAGACUGCCCGGGGACAAAGAAGCGCUGUUCAAACCGGUGUGGAUACACCUGUCAGCGCCAGCAAACAUGGUCAAAGGUGUCCCAUUAAAGCCUAGACCUCGCCUUUCUCGGGGACUCCAGUCGGACCCUUGAAGUGUCAUGGAAAUCCAAAUGCAACCUGUCUGUGGAGUCUGUAUUUUAGAUCCUGAAGAAAAGGUGGAACUACAGGAUUCAGCCUGGGGAAGAGGAGGCUACAGAAUGGCAGAUGGAGAGAUUGGUUAGUUCUAUAUUUGUGAUUAUUUAUGCAGAGUGCAUCUUCAUAGGCAGUAGAACAUAUGGGAAUCCAAAGGGCAGAUGCCUGCUGUAUCUACUUAUCUCCACUCUUCUAUAUAGGAAAAGGGAUUUAUGAAACAUCUCGAGAGAGGUGAUACCCGCAUUAUUUAAACAGCUUCAGGGAGGAUCAUUUGACUAGCAACGGUAGAAUUCUGGGUCACUGAGCUGGUUAUUCCAGGCACUGAUACAGCAGCAAGAUGGUUACUUCUGCCUAUUCGAACCUUAUCCGUACAGUCGUUAGUGGAGAAGGAAGGCUGGCUAGAGAGAGGCUGGCUGGCCUUGUGGUUAAAGCACUAAACUAGGACUUGGGAAAUCUGGAGUGAGUUCGUGGCUCUGCUGUGGACCUCCUGCAUGACCUGGGGUAAGUCACAGUCUUUCUGUGACUCGGUUUCCCCUUCUGUAAAGUGGAGCUAAUAACACUUCCCCAGCACAGGCAUGUGGUGAGGGUAUGUUCAGUGAUGUUUGUGAGGCAUUCAGAUGUUGCAGGGAAAGAGGUUACAAGAAUCAUGGGGUAGA